AGAGUUUGAUCCUGGCUCAGGAUGAACGCUGGCGGCGUGCCUAACACAUGCAAGUCGAGCGAGAAGGUAGAGAGUGAUUCUUCGGAUGAGCGAUCUACCGGGCAGCGGCGGACGGGUGAGUAACGCGUGGGUAACCUGCCUUAUACUGGGGGAUAACAUUCUGAAAAGGAUGCUAAUACCGCAUAAGCGCACAGCAUCGCAUGAUGCCGUGUGAAAAACUCCGGUGGUAUAAGAUGGACCCGCGUCUGAUUAGCUAGUUGGUGAGAUAAUAGCUCACCAAGGCAACGAUCAGUAGCCGACCUGAGAGGGUGAUCGGCCACAUUGGGACUGAGACACGGCCCAAACUCCUACGGGAGGCAGCAGUGGGGAAUAUUGCACAAUGGGGGAAACCCUGAUGCAGCGACGCCGCGUGAAGGAUGAAGGUUUUCGGAUCGUAAACUUCUAUCAGCAGGGAAGAAAAUGACUGUACCUGACUAAGAAGCCCCGGCUAACUACGUGCCAGCAGCCGCGGUAAUACGUAGGGGGCAAGCGUUAUCCGGAAUUACUGGGUGUAAAGGGUGCGUAGGCGGUAAAGUAAGUUAGGUGUGAAAGCCCGGGGCUCAACCUCGGGACUGCACUUAAAACUGCUUUACUAGAAUACAGGAGAGGUAAGUGGAAUUCCUAGUGUAGCGGUGAAAUGCGUAGAUAUUAUGAGGAACACCAGUGGCGAACGCGACUUACUGGACUGUGAUUGGCGCUGAGGCACGAAAGCGUGGGGAGCGAACAGGAUUAGAUAACCCUGGAGUCUACGCCGUAAACGAUGAAUGCUAGUGUCGGGGGUCGAAACCUCUGUGCCGCAGCUAACGCAUUAA
rnacentral:rRNA from 1 species